rnacentral:tRNA from 1 species
GUCCCUGUAGCACAAUGAAUAGCUCGUUGGACUUCUAAUUCAAAGGUUCGAAUCCUACCUGGGAUG